rnacentral:lncRNA from 1 species
AAUAUUUGUAAACAUUUCUGCUGGAUUUCCCUUCCCUCCAUUAGAAAAUUAUUCAAAAGAGAGUUUGAGAAGAAAAAGUCAAUUUGUUCACUAAAAUAAAAUUUCAUACGUUUUCACCUAGGACUGAAUCUGAAGGUUCACAGGCUACUGAAAAAGAUGUACACAAAUGAUGACACUGACUUUUUUUACUACUAAUGAGGAAAGAACGAUAACUGAAGACAGGAGAGGCUUUUCAAUGGAGAUUUAUAGCAUAUGCUGGAUAGAGAAACAAAGAUCACGCGGGCAAAAUCAUGUCUGUGUACACAGCUGCCUGACUUGACAUAGGUUUACUCCCAUUUCCAGUCAGACUCCAAAGUUCGUCAUCUGAAAGCAGCCUUUGGACUGCAGCAAACGUGGUUCUGUCUCAGCAGGACAGGUAAGAGAGGAAGGCUGUGGGAAGGCCCAGGCCCCAGGCAGGUGUGGCUGGGAGAGUGUGGAUGAAGUCAUGGAAGAAGAGGCCUGUUCCACGCACAGAGCCCCUCUUGAGCAAGGCUGGCAAAAGCAUGCUUUCACUGCACCAGGACCAAAAGGACUGCAGUGCUACCCAGUUGAGCUUCUGUAGCUGUCUGAUCUCUGACAAUGACCAGAAAUGCUCAACUGUUCCUUCAACACAAUAA